rnacentral:rRNA from 1 species
AUUGAACGCUGGCGGCAUGCUUUACACAUGCAAGUCGAACGGUAACAGGUCUUCGGAUGCUGACGAGUGGCGAACGGGUGAGUAAUACAUCGGAACGUGCCUAGUAGUGGGGGAUAACUACUCGAAAGAGUGGCUAAUACCGCAUGAGAUCUACGGAUGAAAGCAGGGGAUCGAAAGACCUUGCGCUACUAGAGCGGCCGAUGGCAGAUUAGGUAGUUGGUGGGAUAAAAGCUUACCAAGCCGACGAUCUGUAGCUGGUCUGAGAGGACGAUCAGCCACACUGGGACUGAGACACGGCCCAGACUCCUACGGGAGGCAGCAGUGGGGAAUUUUGGACAAUGGGCGAAAGCCUGAUCCAGCAAUGCCGCGUGCAGGAUGAAGGCCUUCGGGUUGUAAACUGCUUUUGUACGGAACGAAAAGCCCUGGGUUAAUACCCUGGGGUCAUGACGGUACCGUAAGAAUAAGCACCGGCUAACUACGUGCCAGCAGCCGCCGUAAUAC